rnacentral:rRNA from 1 species
UCUGGUGGUAAUAGCGGAGGGGAACCACCCGUUCCCAUCCCGAACACGGAAGUUAAGCCCUCCAGCGCCGAUGGUACUAGGGAGUAUUCCCUGGGAGAGCAGGUCACUGCC